rnacentral:rRNA from 1 species
AACGAACGCUGGCGGCAUGCCUAACACAUGCAAGUCGAACGAACCCUUCGGGGUUAGUGGCGCACGGGUGCGUAACGCGUGGGAAUCUGCCCUUUGCUUCGGAAUAACAGUUAGAAAUGACUGCUAAUACCGGAUGAUGUCUUCGGACCAAAGAUUUAUCGGCAAGGGAUGAGCCCGCGUAGGAUUAGGUAGUUGGUGGGGUAAAGGCCUACCAAGCCGACGAUCCUUAGCUGGUCUGAGAGGAUGAUCAGCCACACUGGGACUGAGACACGGCCCAGACUCCUACGGGAGGCAGCAGUGGGGAAUAUUGGACAAUGGGCGCAAGCCUGAUCCAGCAAUGCCGCGUGAGUGAUGAAGGCCUUCGGGUCGUAAAGCUCUUUUACCAGGGAUGAUAAUGACAGUACCUGGAGAAUAAGCUCCGGCUAACUCCGUGCCAGCAGCCGCAGUAAAAC